UCAACGGCUCUUUUCAGAGCCACCUAAGUUUAUCGUUCAAAAGAGCU
rfam:Heterocephalus glaber contig179875, whole genome shotgun sequence.